AUGGUUCUUCAAAACGAUAUUGAUUUGUUAAACCCUCCUGCUGAGCUUGAGAAGAGAAAGCACAAACUCAAGCGUCUUGUUCAAUCACCAAACUCUUUCUUCAUGGAUGUUAAAUGCCAGGGUUGUUUCAACAUUACUACUGUCUUUAGCCACUCUCAGACCGUCGUGGUGUGUGGUAACUGUCAGACUGUUUUGUGCCAGCCAACGGGUGGCCGUGCGAGGCUAACAGAAGGUUGCUCCUUUAGGAAGAAGGGAGAUUAA